GUGCUUAAUCAAGAACCAAAAUUAGGUACAUUUAAAAAUUAAAGAUUCCAUAAAAAUAAUGCAAUUCCAAUAUUUGGGGCGUGGAAUGAGUAUGUAUAUAGCAUCAGUAUCUUGUGUGUUCCCAAAGAUCAAUCAUACUAAUCUUAGGGAAUCGCAUUCUACAUUACUUAGUCUUAGAUUUAUAUUGGUUAAACAUUCAUAACCGUAUAGUAGAAGCGUCUUAUUUCUUUUAAUAUACUGUAUGGUGGAGUGAUAUUAAAAGAUACUAACAAAUAUUAACUCAGCUACAAACACUAAUUUUAAAUUUACAGAGUCGUAGGAUUGAUAAAUCAAACCAAAGUAGAGAUAUUCUUUGAUGAUCGCUGGAUUGACCAAUGAACAAGUGCAUACAUAACUCCUCAGUCU
rnacentral:lncRNA from 1 species